UUCUUACAUACAUAGAAAAACAAGUCUACUACUCAAAUACAUAAUUUUCACUCCAAUCCAACUAGUAGAUUGCAAGAUAUCGUAGAAAUCCUUACUAGAUAUAAAACUCUACUUUUUGAAACCCCGACCCACUUAAACCUUAAUAACCCUCAAUCCAACCCUUUGAUCAAGCUCAAACUAAUGAUAUAUAUUGAGCACAUAUACACCCACAAAUUUUCAAAAUUUCACUUUCAAAUCUAUUUCCAAACUUACAAAAUCCUCCAAAAAGUAUCUCCCAUUUUA
rnacentral:lncRNA from 1 species